AUAAUAAUCACCAAUUAAUCAAAAUUUCACCAAAAAUGUUACUGCUUUCGAGAACUAAGCAUACGACUGCUCUCUGGACCUUUUUACCACAUGAAUAAUCGAAAUAAGCCACGAUAUAAUUGUCAUUUGUUAAAAAACAACCAGCUGAAUGAUUUCAUGACAAUUUUGGCUCAAAUUAUCAUGCAAUCGUGGGUACCUUCAACAUUGUUUUGUUUCUUCCAUAUACAUGCCAUAUUAAAUGCAAAUAAUUACGACACGAUAUUUUCAGGCCCCGGUCAAGAGGAUAUGAUCCGCGAGUCAAGAUUAGAGAUGGGCAAACCGUUCAUGAACUGUUCAAUAGAACUAGUUCACCAAAAAGAGUGAACGAACGGUCGUUCUUUUUUACUGGGCAACAGUUCACAUGAACUGCUUACCCAGUUCAGAACGAACUGUUUACGAAGACCGCUGGCUGAACUAUGUGUACAGUUUAGUUCAGAACGAACUGAACGGUGGACGAUGAACUGUGUAUGCAGUUCAGAACGAACUGUUUACGAUCCCACAAUCCAGUCGACAAACAAAUUAUCGACCUAACAUCCCACAAUCCAGUCGACGAACAAAUUAUCGACCUAACAUAGAACGAUCAACUUCGUUGAUCGAAAAUACGGAAUGAUACAAAACAAAUCGGCAUCACUGUUUUUUUUUCUCCGCCAAACUGUCAUCUCAUAACAAAACAAUCGAAUCAUACAACUGCUAUAAACACAAGGCUAUUUUGAUUCCUGUGAGCGAGAUUAUUUCCGCCAUCACCACAGUGUGGAUUGCCACUGUGAUAGCAGCCAACAGCAUCAACAAUUUCCGCAGCAGUAUCAUCCAAGCCCUGGUGACCGUGCCGAAGAACAGCAACAACAGGACCUGACUAUCGAUGGUGUUUCGAAAAACUUUAUGAGGAUGAGAGGAUGAGAUCCAAGACUGUUAAUCGUUAUCAGCAAUUAUACCCUGGAGACAUCGACACCAAUACUAAAACGAAGAAAAAACGGGACGAGUAUCCUCCAGUGCAGGAUUCUAAUGCUGGUGACCCCCAAGCCAUUGAAGAAUGGGAUCGCCGGGAGGAACGGGAAUAUGAAAAGCUAUUGGAGUCUUGCCCUAGCUCAGAUUUUGAGAUUUGCCAUAAGCAAACCAUCUCCACCUAAAAUAUAUAUACAUAUUUGCAAAUGAGUUG